rnacentral:rRNA from 1 species
GGUGAACGCUGGCGGCGUGCUUAAGACAUGCAAGUCGAACGGCAGUCUUCGGACUGUAGUGGCGCACGGGUGAGUAACGCGUAACUGACCUACCCCAAAGUCGCGGAUAACGAUUCGAAAGAAUCGCUAAUACGUGAUGUGCUGUCAGAUUGUGUUCUGCCAGUAAAGAUUGAUUGCUUUGGGAUGGGGUUGCGUUCCAUCAGCUAGUUGGUGGGGUAAAGGCCCACCAAGGCGACGACGGAUAGCCGGCCCGAGAGGGUGGCCGGCCACAGGAGCACUGAGACACGGGUCCCACUCCUACGGGAGGCAGCAGUUAGGAAUCUUCCACAAUGGUCGAAAGCCUGAUGGAGCGACGCCGCGUGAGGGAUGAAGGUCUUCGGAUCGUAAACCUCUGAAUCAGGGACGAAAGACACUUCGGUGGGAUGACGGUACCUGAGUAAUAGCACCGGCUAACUCCGUGCCAGCCGCCGCCGUAAAAC